AAAGGUUUGGUCCCAGCCUUCAAAUCAGUUUUUACUUCACAUACACAUGCAAGCCUCCACACCCCUGUGAAAACGCCCUUGACUCCCCCUUAGGGAUAAGGAGCCGGUAUCAGGCACAAAUUUUAGCCCAAAACACCUAGCCAUGCCACACCCCCACGGGACUUCAGCAGUGAUUAAUAUUGAACAUGAGCGACAGCUUGACUCAGUUAAAGUAGAGAGAGCCGGCAAAUCUGGUGCCAGCCGCCGCGGUUACACCACGUGGCUCAAAUUGAUUAUUGCGGCGUAAAGCGUGAUUAAAGUAAAAUAUCAACUAGAGACAAACUAAGACUAAGUUGUAACAAGCUUGUGCUUAAGAAACCCAAAAACGAAAGUUUCUCUACCUCCACCAACUUGAAUUCACGACAGCUAGGGUACAAACUGGGAUUAGAUACCCCACUAUGCCUAGCCGUAAACUUUAAUUUACUAUUCAACCGCCAGGGGACUACGAGCAAAGCUUAAAACCCAAAGGACUUGACGGUACCCCACAUCCACCUAGAGGAGCCUGUCCUAUAAUCGAUACCCCACGCUAAACCCAACCACUUCUAGUUUAUCAGCCUGUAUACCUCCGUCGUCAGCUUACCGCAUGAGCGAUCCCCAGUGAGCUUAAAGGUCUUACUCCAACACGUCAGGUCAAGGUGCAGCAAAUGAAAUGGGAAGAGAUGGGCUACACUCUCUAAUAUAGAGAACACGAAAGACUUUAUGAAACCUAGUCGGAAGGCGGAUUUAGUAGUAAGAAGGGAUCAGAAUGCCCACCUUAACAAGGCACUGGGGUGUGUACACACCGCCCGUCACCCUCUUCAAAAGCCAGACUAAAGUAAAUAACCUACCUACGCACUAAAGAAGAGGUAAGUCGUAACACGGUAAGUAUACCGGAAGGUGUGCUUGGAUA
rnacentral:ncRNA from 1 species